AUUCUACAGUGCCCUUCAGGCCUUCAGAACUGGAUAAUGACACUAUACAAACAACAUCAGUAGCUCUCUGUAUGGAGACAUGAUGCUAUGCCACUAGUUGGCCUGCUCCGGGAAAGGACUUUUUGCCACAGAUACUAGGAAUGCUGUUGGCGAUGGCCUCCAGUUGUCAACUUCUUCAGAGACUACCUCAGGCCAGCACAUAUCAAAUGAACGAUUGAACUGGAAGUGUUCUCCAUUCCCUCUCUGAUCCUGUCCAAUAAUGAAUAAAGAAAUGGAUUCUUAAGAAAGGACCAGUUUGCAAGGAGAAGCAAGAAUGAAUUUAUCUUUCUGAAGAUCACAGUGGAUGACGUUGGAGAUGAAGUCGAUGAAUUAUGGCUCUCAAGCAUGAGGUCCUGAACUCAAUCCAAGGCAUUGCAUGGGCCAGACUGAUAAUUUCUUCCUUUUGUCAGUAAGUAAACAAUUAAAAAGAAAUUUAAGAAAGA